UCAAGCGCUCCUUUUGUGAUCACCACACCUGCUCUCCUUUGGCGCAUAGACAGACGACAGACCUGUUUCAGACGACAAGCACGUGCGAUACGAGGAGUACAGCUAGCUGUGCAGCAUUAACCUGAAUGGAGGAUGACCCAAGCUUUGCAUCUACCAAUGCCAGUGCUGAAUGCACAGUUGCUGAUGGGACAGAUGCCUUUAACCCUGCACACAAGAAAGAGGUUCAAAGUCGUGGCUUGCCUCGCCUCCAGAAACUCAGGAGACAUCAUAGUGUAUGUGAGCAACGCUACGAGAG